rnacentral:misc_RNA from 1 species
UCCGGUUUGACACCGGCAGUCUCCCUAGAGUGCCCGGCAUAACCCGCUGGUAACUAGGGACGAGGGUUGCGCUCGUUGCGGGACUUAACCCAACAUGUCACCACACGAGCUGACGACAGCCAUGCAGCACCUGUCACUCUGCUGUAUUGCUACAGAAACCGGAUCUCUCCGGCGGUCAGAGGAUGUCAAACCCAGGUAAGGUUCUUCGCGUUGCUUCGAAUUAAACCACAUGAUCCACCGCUUGUGCGGGCCCCCGUCAAUUCCUUUGAGUUUUAGUCUUGCGACCGUACUUCCCAGGCGGGGUACUUAGUGCGUUAGCGCCGAUUCGGCGGGGGUCAAGACCCACCAAAUCUAGUACCCAUCGUUUACGGCGUGGACUAC